ACUUGUUUUGUUUUCAAAUUCGUCAAAACCAAAACCCUUUUACUUUAAAGUGUUUUAUUAGUCAAAAUCUGUUUUGAUUUGUGUUUUUAGGUGUCCCAAAAGUGUGUUAGAGUCCAAAUCUACCUAGUUUGUGUUUUUAGGCAGAUUUAAGUGUUUUUAGCUUAUUUUGAGUCCUUUGAGUUUGUUUUAAGUUCUUUGAGUCUAGUUUAAUGUUUUUAACUUUGUUUAUAUGUUUUUAAGUCAGUUUAGAGGUUUUAGCAAGCCCUCAUAAUCCCCGGUUUAGAACGAUCCCUACUUGCAUUUAUACUACAAUUUGACAACAAAAGGGUUUAAUUUGUGUGUUAAGAAAAUUUUCACAUCAAUUACUCAUAAAGAAAUUCAAUGUAACAUCAGAUAUGUGGCUUCUUUACCUGGUGCGCACCAUUCCACUUUAUCUGAUAACAUUUUACUCUUUAGUAAAAUGACAUCAUAUCCAAGUAACUAGGAAAAACAAUCCAUACUCGGUUACAAAUGAUGACUUAGCCCAGCACUAUACGCCACAAUGUUAUACAAAUUAUUUCUUAAAGCUAAUUACGGAUUUUACUUUCAAGACAAUUUAUUAUAACCUGGUUACCUCAAUAGUGCCCUCUAUCUUUAACCGACCAAGUACUAAAGAACCAGACAUAAUCACAUCUACUUGUCUAUGUUUCAGGCGUCCCUAAUGCAUGCCACAUGUCUCACACUACAACACAUCUAGUUUUGCAAACCCAUUGUAGUCACAUGCUCUCAGAAUUUUUCCAAAGACAAUCCCUCAGUCAUAGGAUCGGCCACCAUCUCUUGGGGGAGGGUAUGUAGUCGACCUUUACAUCUCCUUUCUCCAUUAUAUUUUGUAUAUAGUGAUAUUUAAUAUCAAUGUGUUUUCCUUUCGAACUAUUUGCUCCACUCUUUAUCAGAAAGAAGACGGACUUAUUACCACAAAACACAUUGACAAGCUCUUAAGGUAUACCUAUAUUUAAAUUUUCAAUCAAUCGUUUAGCCCAUAUUGCAGUACUUACUAAUGUGCUACAAGAUAUAUAUUCUACUUCCAUGGUAGACUUUGCACCACAGUUGUGUUUCUUACUUAUCCAAGAAACAAUCAUUCCACCAACAAGACAAUGUUACCACUUGUUGACUUUCUGUCAUCCAAGUCGCUUGCGAAAUCUACAUUGCAAUAACAAACAAAAUCCAGAUCAUUUUGUUGAUCCAAAUAUAGCAUUUUGGCAUCUUUAUCCCUAGUAAUUUUAAUUCCUAGAACAUAAGAUGCUUCUCCCAUAUCCUUCAUUUCAAAUUUGGAUCCCACAUAUGACUUAGUCUUUUCAAUCAUAUCUAUAGAGUUACCUGUAAUUAAGAUGUCAUCUACAUAUAGUGACAACAUACAUAAAUUAUCUUGGCACUUCCAAAAGUAAACACAAUGAUCCAAUGGAUUUAUUUUAUAGUCCAUUUCAAUAAUGGCUUGGUGGAACUUAAAUACCAUUGUCUUGAUGAUUGUUUAAGGUCGUACAACGACUUUCUUAAUUUAUAAACUUUGUUUUCAUGUCCUUUGGCAUGAUAUCCUUCAGGUUGAAUCAUAUAGAUGUCUACCUUCAAAUCUCUAUUUAAGAAUGUUGUUUUGACAUUUAACUAAUGAAGUUCUAAAUCCAUUCUAGCAACAAUUGUCAUAAGAAUACGAAUGGAUGUAAACUUCGCAGCUGGAGAGUAAGUGUCCACAAAAUCUAUACCGGGUUUUUUAGUAUAACCCUUAGCUACAAGUUGAGUCUUAAAAUUAUUCAGGGUACCAUUUGAUUUGUACUUCUUACAAAGUACCCACUUACAACCUAUGGGCUUUUUUUUCCAUCAGGUAGAUCAACCAAUUCCCAAAUUUUAUUUUUCUUUAUGGAAUCUAGUUCUUCAUUCAUUGCUUGUUGCCAUUGUUCAGACUCAAAACUAUCUAUUGCUUCUUUAUAAUUCCUUGGGUUUGGAUCUCCCAUUGAAUGAUCUACCUCCUCAAGAUUGAAAACAAAGUGAUCUUUCAAUCUUCUAGAUGGUUCCCUUUUUCUUUUACUCCUACUAAUUUGAUCAUUUAUCCCCCUAUUUAUAUCUUCCAUGAUAAUAUCAUGAUCAUCAUCCAUGUGUAUGUCAUGAUCGGCAUUGUUAUGAUCACCCAUGUUUAUGUCUCCCACUUGAUCAUUGCUAAUGUCAUAAUCAUGAGACAAGUCUAAAUCAAGAUGGAAAUCUUGAUCAUCCGUAGGAGAAUUUUCUUCUCCCAAAGAUUCCAAUUCUUGUAUUGGAUUAACCAAAUCAGUAGUUUCAAUAAAAGUAGCAUCCUUACUUUCGAUCAAUCCUUUCUCAUGAAACCUAUAUCUGACACUAUUAUUAGGAUAUCCUAUGAAUUUACAUUCCAAGGUUUUUCUUGUAAUUUAUCUCUUAAUGGCUUUGGAAUGAGGACAUGUGCUUUACAACCCCAAACUUUUAAGUUUGAUAAAUCGAGUUUUCGCCCAUGUCAUAAUUCAUAUGGAGUCAGUGGUUUCGCCUUUAUAUGAACUCUAUUGAAUAUAUAUAGACAAAGCUUCACCCAAAAAAUGUAGAGGUAAGUCAGCAUAAAACAUCAUAGAUAGCAUCAUAUCCAUUAGAGUUUGAUUUCUUCGUUCUGCGAUUCCAUUUUGUUGUGGUGUAUAAGGCAUAGUAUAAUUAUGCCUUAUACCAUUCUCUUUGCAAAAAUCAUCAAAGGCUUCAAAUUCUCCACCUCUAUCAUUAUUAAGGGUUUUUAUGGAUCUUCCUAAUUGGUUCUCUACUUCUGCCUUGAACUCUUUCAACUUGUCUAAGGCAUCAUUUUUAUGCUUCAAAAAAUAGACAUGUCCAUAACGGGAAUAAUCAUUGAUGAAGUCACAAAAUAUUUCAUUCCUCUAUGGGUUGUAGUUCUCAUUGGUCCACAUAAAUCUGUAUGCAUUAUCUCAAGUAAAUUUGUAGAAGUCCAAUGCUGAGAAAAUGAUUUUCUAGUCAUUUUUCCUUUAAUACAUGAUUCACAUGUAUCAAAAUCAUGUGCAUUUACUUGAGGCAACAUUCCAUUUUUACUCAUGCGUAUCAUUUUAUUUUUAUUUAUGUGACAUAAACGUAAAUGCCAUAUAUAUGACAAAAUUUUGAACAGUAGAGACAAAGGUGUGGAGCCAAAAAUAAUCACAAGGCGACAUGUGGAUUUUUGGAUAGAAGAGGACAAAAAUACCCUUGAGGUACAAGGGGACUCCUACACGCGAGCAAUGGGCAAUCAUCUUUCAACUAAAUCAAAAAUGCCCAAAAUAGGUAACAAUUCAAAACCUAUCUCAUCAAAUCCCUUCUACAAGGUAACUCCCAAAACCUAUUUCAUUCCAUAUAUCUUUUACCUCAUUUUCCCUUUUUUAGCUAAUCAAUUAGCUAUUUGUUCACUCCACAUAUUCCUUUUAUUAUGUUAAUUAGCCAAUAAUAUAUUUAUUUCUAAUCAAUAUAUUAAUUUGCUAAUUAAAUCACCAAAUAACACCCAAAAUACACAUAAAGGGCCGGCCACUCUUUUUCCAAAGAGGACUGGCAAUGCCCUAUAAAUAUGACCCACUUUUCUCUAAAAACCUAGGUCUUCACCCUUGCUAAAAUUCUCCAAAACUCUCAAACACUUUUCUCUCUAAAUUCUAACUUUGGCAUCAAAGGUUCUUUGGCCAAAGCGCCCCCCCCCCAUUCAUCCUAGGCGCAUGUGGCUCUUGGCCUUGACCUAAGGUGUUAUUUGUUUUGUAGGUGCAAUUUUGUCCAAGAUCAAGAAGGCGAAAAUUUACAUCCACAAAUUGGUGCUUUCAUUGAGAGAAGAGUCACACACUCGUAGAAGACUCCCGCAUCAAAAGGUUUUUCUAUUUUCUUGUCCAUUUGUAGAUUUUUCGUACAUUCUUAUUAUUAGAAUUUUUUAUUUGCAAAGAUUCUUUGAUAAAACGUAAAAGAAAAAUACAAUGGCUAGAAAUUUAGAAAAUUCCACAAGUGAAAAUUCCAAUAUCCAAGGAAUGGGACCACGGCGAUCCACGAGGCUAAAUGCGACAAUAAGUGGAGCUGCACCACCACAACAAGUUUCCACCACGGCCACCUGUGGCGAGGUCCAUGGUGCCUUCACCACGACCUGAGCCAUGCCAUCCAAGGUGGCUUACGUCACUAAGUCCACGGCCUAAGCCUCACUCUCGCAUGCAUCACGCACCGAGCAGCCCACUCUCAUGGCCCAACCUGCUUCCGUAGCCCGGUCUGCUCCCGUGGCCUUCCAAGUACCCCCAAUUGAUCCAAGAUUAGUUCAACUAUCCCGGGUCCAAAUUUCCAGACUGACGAUCGAACCAGGAGUAUUUUCACCACAUUUUUCUACGGAUUUGGCAUUUCCCAACUCAAAUCUCACGCCCAGAGUCUACCACACUUCCACUGCUCAAGAAGACGCAUUCAUUCCAAGCUAUUCCAACCCAGAUGGAGAACAACACUUGUCUCGACAAGUCAUAGAGUUGAUGAGCGCCCUCGCACAACAGAUGACCUUGGUGAACCAGCUCUUGUAGCGCAUCGAGAUGCAACGUGCCCUAGACGAGGUGUCCCGAAAUAGGACAAGGGCAAACAAAGAACCUUUCCAGCAGCGUCCGAUAGGAGCAUAUUUAUACGACUUAGUUAGCUUGUUUCUUGGCAUUUAUGUUGUUAGUUCGUAGUUAUUUUAGUAUUUUAAGCUAUUUUCAUGUGUUUGUAGGUCCAAAGGGUUAAUGUGGCAAAGAAGUGCAUUUUGGAGCAUUUUUUGGCAUGGAAUGGAUAGCAUAUGCUUGGAGCAAAAGGAAUGGACGAAAUUUGAAGUUUGUGCAUCAUCAUCUCCCUAUAAAUAACCAUUUUAGCACACUCAUUUCACCCAACACAUCCACUCAUUACAACCACCCAACACAUCCACUCAUUACAACCACCCAACACAUUCACCUACCACUACAUCCACUCAUUUCACCCAACACAUCCAUUCACCUACCACUACAUCCACUCAUUUCACCCAACACAUUCACCCAUUACAACCACCCAACACAUUCACCUACCAUUACAUCCACUCAUUUCACCUAACACAUCCACUCAUUUCAACCACCCAACACAUUCACCUACCACUACAUCCACUCAUUACCACCACCCACUACAUCAUCUCCCUAGCCUAUAAAUAUAUCCAUCCAAAGACACAUUUGGGGGACAGUUUAGGGAGAAGGACAGGAAGACACACUCUGCCGCAAGGCAGAGUCUUUUCUUCUUAACCAUUCUACACAUUUCCACAACAAAAACACAAUUUCAUGCACCUUCAUUUCCUUUUCCUUGCCGUGACCUCCAUCCAACCUAAACACAUUCAGCCAUUCCCUUCCAUAUAUCCAUAUGCAUCCAUCAAACCAUACCUUGUGCCGCAACAAAGAGAUGAAGGAGGACCCUUGGAAGUGCUUGCCAUUCAAGUUGGAUUGUUGGAGCGUUUUUAGGUGUUUUCAUUCUUUUGCUUUCAAUGUCUAAAUUUGUUUAUCUUUGCUUUGUGAGUAUGAGGAACUAAAUCCCCCUUAGCUAGGGGGGAAUUCAAAGCCAUGAACAUACUUGGAAUAUGAUUUGAUUACCUUAAGUUGUGAUUUCAUAAGUUGUGAAUUCAAUUUGUUUAACUGCUUGAUUGAUAACUUAUUCGUGUAUGUUUAUUAAGAGUGCACACUUAAUUUGCAUGCAUGAAUAUGAUGCUAGAGUAUAAGGGAGUUUCACCUAAUAGUUACAAACUUAUAUUCACAAGUAGUGGAGGUCGCUUAUAAACGAUUGCGUUAAAUGAAUUCUUGGCAGGAGUUUCAUGCUCAUCAUAGUAACGAAUGCCUCGUCAAUACUUAUAGUUUUCAUAAUGCUUAAUGAUCUUUGAUUGUAUCUUUAUUGUGUUGUUCACGAAAAGGACUUUUGAAGAAUGCUUGAAUUGUUGUAUGCGAUUUCCCAUCCAAUUCAAUAACUUAAGGAGAACUUGAAGGUUAAUUUAAGCGGACUUAAUUAACCUGGGGUGUUGAGUUUCAUGAUUUAUCGAAAGAACAACUAAAAAUUGGUUUAUGUGCAAGUGUGUCAUGUGUGGAGAAGAACCCUUUAGCUAGCGCAUCAUCCAUAGUUUACCCAAAUUCAUCCAAAAUUUGUUUUAGUUUACAAUCUGUUUGUUUUGUUUUCAAAUUCGUCAAAAUCAAAUCCCCCUUUACUUUAAAGUGUUUUAUUAGUCAAAAUCUGUUUUGAUUUGUGUUUUUAAGUGUCUUGAGUCAAGUUAGAACCUAAUUUCGUCCAAAACCAUCCCUAGAGUCAGUUUAGAGUCUAAUUCAUUGUUUUAAGCUGUUUUGAGUCUUUUAAACUAGUUUUGAGUCUUUUUAGUUUGUAUUGCAUCUUUUGAGUCUAGUUUGGUGUUUUAAACUUAAUUUUAUGUUUUUAAGUCAGUUUAGAGGUUAUUAGCAAGCCCUCCUAAUCUCCGGUCCAGAACGAUCCCUACUUACAUUCUUUACUACAAUUGAUACAAGAGGGUUUAAUUUGUGUGUUAAGUAAUUUUCGCAUCAAAUUUUUGGCGCCGCUGUCGGGGAUUAGCAAUCCCUUGUUAUUUCUUUUUGUAUAUUUUCGUGUCUUUUGUUUUUAGUUACUGACUUUGUUUCUAUUUGUUUUUUUUUUUUUUUUUUUUUUUUUUUACUUUUGAUAUUUGAUUUAGUUUUGUUUCCUUGAUUUCAGGUACUAGAGAAGUAAGACAUGGAUUUUUCUACCAUUCAAGCUCAAUUGGUGAAACUUACUUCUCAAUUAUCACAAUAUCCCGAAGGGACCACAAUGCAAAGUGUCCCUACAUAUGGUGUGUCAUAUGGGCAAGGAUAUCCAACUUAUCAAUGUUCUCAAUUCGCUGCGAAUGAAGAUGCUUGGCGUUAUCAAGGCCAUAGCCAAUCAUGGGACAACAUGUUUUCCAACGCUUACAAUUCGGAUUGGAGAGAUUAUUCAGAUUACAUGUGGGGAGAACCUCAACAAUUCCAACAAGAUGGAUAUUGGCAGCAAGAAGAUGAGUUCUAUUCAAGACCUAUGCAGCCACCACAACCUUCACAAUAAUUCCAAUCAAAUUCAAGUAUGCCUAUGAGUUAUGAAGAAAUUCUUGAUGUACUAACCUCGUUGACGCAAGGCUCACAACAAGAAGAAUAUUUGCCGCCAUCGGAUGAGUUCUAUCACUAGCCAUAUGAACCAUCACAGCCACCACAACAAUCUGCCCAAUUCAAUUUAGGUACAUCUUUGGAUAAUGAUAUGGUUAAUAAGUUACUCAUAUCUUUGAACCAGGAAGUAGAAAAUCGAAACAAAGAGAUGUAAAAUCAAGCCAACAUUCCAUUUUUACUCAUGCGUAUCAUUUUAUUUUUAUUUAUGUGACAUAAACGUAAAUGCCAUAUAUAUGACAAAAUUUUGAACAGUAGAGACAAAGGUGUGGAGCCAAAAAUAAUCACAAGGUGACACAUGGAUUUUUGGAUAAAAGAGGACAAAAAUACCAAUGAGGUACAACAGGACUCCUACGCGCGAGCAGCGGACAAUCAUCCUUCAACUAAAUCAAAAAUGCCCAAAAUAGGUAAUAAUUCAAAACUUAUCUCAUCAAACCCUUCUACAAGGUAACUCCCAAAACCUAUUUCAUUCCAUAUAUCUUUUACCUCAUUUUCCCUUUUUUAGCUAAUCAAUCAGCUAUUUAUUCACUCCAUAACCUCCCAAAAACAUUCCUUUUAUUAUGUUAAUUAGCCAAUUAAUACAUUUAUUCAUAAUCAAUAUAUUAAUUUGCUAAUUAAAUCACCAAAUAACACCCAAAAUACACAUAAAGGGUCGACCACUCUUUCUCCAAAAAGGACCAGCCAUGCCCUAUAAAUAUGACCCAUUUUUCUCUAAAAACCUAGGUCUUCACUCUUGCUAAAAUUCUCCAAACCUCUCAACCAUUUUUCUCUCUAAAUUCUAACUUUGGCAUCAGAGGUUCUUCGGCCAAAACCCUCUCAUUCAUCGCGGGCACGUGUGGCUGACCUAAGGUGUUAUUUGUUUUGUAGGUGCAAUUUUGUCCAAGAUCAAGAAGGCGGAAAUUUGCAUCCACAAAUUGGUGCUUUCAUUGAGAGAAGAGUCACAUACUCGUAGAAGACUCCCGUAUCAAAAGGUUUUUCUAUUUUCUUGUCCAUUUGUAGAUUUUUCGUACAUUCUUAUUAUUAGAAUUUUUUAUUUGCAAAGAUUCUUUGAUAAAACAUAAAAGAGAAAUACAAUGGCUAGAAAUUUAGAAAAUUCCACAGGUGAAAAUUCCAAUAUCCAAGGAAUGGGACCACGACUAUCCACGAGGCUAAAUUCGACAAUAAGUGGAGCGACACCACCACCACGAGUUUCCACCAUGGGAACCACCACGGUGGCUACCUCGGUAGCUACCCAUGGUGAGGUCCAUGGUGCCUUCA
rnacentral:lncRNA from 1 species